CGAUCUGGAGCAACAAUUAUGGGUCGAAGAGGCCGGAUGAAAGGAGGAAUUUCGACAUCAGAGUCGGCGGUCAAGUGAAUGUGAAUCCAUUCACUAAAGGGUCUGAUUUGAACGCCUUCGAUGAUGGUUACAAGAGUAUGAGCAGCAACUACAACGAUAUUGGCCUAGGCCCUAUCGGCCAGAUUAUGGCCCCUGCCUCGGCCUCUCAAAAGAAUGUUGGGAUCAACGGUGGAUUCAACAAAGGGAUUUAUUCAAAGCCAGGUCAUUUUGGUCUUAGCACCAUCAACACCAACAACAACAACAACAUCAACAGUUAUAUGAAUGUUAAUUUGAAGGGGAAUAGGAAUAGGGAAGAGAAUGAUCAUCAUGGACUUGGAAGCAAGAGUGGCAAGAAGAACAGCAACAAGAAGAACAAUAACAAA
rnacentral:lncRNA from 1 species